UACGUAGGGUGCAAGCGUUGCCCGGAUUUAUUGGGCGUAAAGGGCGCGUAGGCGGCUCGGCACGUCCGUUGUGAAAUCGCCCGGCUCAACUGGGCGGGGUCAGCGGAUACGGCCGAGCUUGAGCAAGCUAGGGGGCAAUGGAAUUCCUGGUGUAGCGGUGGAAUGCGCAGAUAUCGGGAGGAACACCGGUGGCGAAGGCGGGAUCCUGGGCCAGUACUGACGCUGAGGAGCGAAAGCGUGGGGAGCAAACAGG
rnacentral:rRNA from 1 species